rnacentral:rRNA from 1 species
AGAGUUUGAUCCUGGCUCAGGACGAACGCUGGCGGCGUGCCUCAAACAUGCAAGUCGAGCGUGGGCAGAUUGCCUCGCAAGAGGCGAUCUGUUCUAGCGGCGAACGGGUGCGUAACACGUGGGGAACCAACCCUCCAGAUGGGGACAACCUCGGGAAACCGGGGCUAAUACCGAAUACGCUUGCCGGGUCGCAUGGCCUG